GUGGCUGGGACAUGCUCCUCAAGGCUGACAGCCACCACUAUGCAGUGGGUCUGCUGGCCAGGGAGCUGUGCCAUGUAUCCCGCUCCUUCUGCCGCAGCAUCGCCGUCAGCCUGCUCCCGCGGCUCAGCAGGGGAGAGCCCCUGUGGGAACUGCCUGCCCUGGCGUUCCUGGUGGAGGUCCUGCACUGCCUGAACCCCAGACAAUUUGGGCCCAGCAUCCUGCAGAUUAUUUCCAGGCACC